CACCGAGACGAGGCUCGUUGGAGCCGAAGUCACUGAUCCCACGCUUCCACGGAAAAGCCCCUAAGCUUCAGCUGCGAAUAGAACCGUACCGUAAUCCGACACAGGUAGGCAGGGUGAGAAUCCCAAGGCGCUUGAGAGAACUCGGGUGAAGGAACUAGGCAACAUAGCACCGUAACUUCGGGAGAAGGUGCGCCCCGGAACGUGGCUCCAUGCGGAGCUGAGCGUUCGGGGGCCGCAGUGACCAGGCCGCUGCGACUGUUUAUCAAAACACAGCACUCUGCAAACACGAAAGUGGACGUAUAGGGUGUGACACCUGCCCGGUGCCGGAAGGUUAAUUGAUGGGGUCAGCCGCAAGGCGAAGCUCUUGAUCGAAGCCCCGGUAAACGGCGGCCGUAACAAUAACGGUCCUAAGGUAGCGAAAUUCCUUGUCGGGUAAGUUCCGACCUGCACGAAUGGUGUAACGACAGCGGCGCUGUCUCCACCCGAGACUCAGUGAAAUUGAAAUCGCUGUGAAGAUGCAGCGUUCCCGCGGC
rnacentral:rRNA from 1 species